CCUACGGGGGGCAGCAGUGGGGAAUAUUGGACAAUGGGCGAAAGCCUGAUCCAGCCAUGCCGCGUGUGUGAAGAAGGCCUUCGGGUUGUAAAGCACUUUCAGUGGGGAAGAAAGCCUUGGGGCUAAUACCCUCGAGGAAGGACAUCACCCACAGAAGAAGCACCGGCUAACUCCGUGCCAGCAGCCGCGGUAAUACGGAGGGUGCGAGCGUUAAUCGGAAUUACUGGGCGUAAAGCGCGCGUAGGCGGUCUGAUAAGCCGGUUGUGAAAGCCCCGGGCUCAACCUGGGAACGGCAUCCGGAACUGUCAGGCUAGAGUGCAGGAGAGGAAGGUAGAAUUCCCGGUGUAGCGGUGAAAUGCGUAGAGAUCGGGAGGAAUACCAGUGGCGAAGGCGGCCUUCUGGACUGACACUGACGCUGAGGUGCGAAAGCGUGGGUAGCAAACAGGAUUAGAUACCCCAGUAGAC
rnacentral:rRNA from 1 species